UCCACUCCAAGCUUCUGUGUAAAUCUAUGAAACUGUUCAGCUCCUCUAUGACAUAGUGAACCACCACUUGAGUCAUUUGUCGUCUGGCUCCUCUGAUUCAGUGUCAUCUUGAGAACCCAGGGACAUGUGAAGGUGAACCAUGCUGAUUUUGUUUUUGUUCCUUAUGUUAAGAAAUAACUCUUCUUCAUAAGGAUAUACUGCUAUUAAAAUAUCCAAAUGAAGCAAAUUCAAAUAUAUAG